UACCCUUGACAUCUACAGAAGCCGGAAGAGAUUCUGGUGUGCCUUCGGGAACUGUAAGACAGGUGCUGCAUGGCUGUCGUCAGCUCGUGUUGUGAAAUGUUGGGUUAAGUCCCGUAACGAGCGCAACCCUUGUCCUUAUUUGCCAGCACGUAAUGGUGGGAACUCUAAGGAGACUGCCGGUGACAAACCGGAGGAAGGUGGGGACGACGUCAAGUCAUCAUGGCCCUUACGGGUAGGGCUACACACGUGCUACAAUGGCCGGUACAAAGGGCUGCGAGCUCGCGAGAGUCAGCGAAUCCCUUAAAGCCGGUCUCAGUCCGGAUCGGAGUCUGCAACUCGACUCCGUGAAGUCGGAAUCGCUAGUAAUCGUGAAUCAGAAUGUCACGGUGAAUACGUUCCCGGGCCU
rnacentral:rRNA from 1 species